rnacentral:lncRNA from 1 species
GUGGUCUCGGUCGAAGAAGGCACACCGCUUCCUUGCCUGUUUUGGUGGCUUCGCUUUGUAAACGUAAACUAUCCGAAAUGUGAAACAAUGUAUGAAAUCUCGCAGCUAGUGCGGACUCAGCUGACUAUGCGGCGUGAACACGAUCUCCUCCCUCCGACUGCUGUGAGGCGUCUCGGCUCUCGUCUCUCUCUGUUUUUAAUGUCAUAUGCUUUAUAGGCAUGCAAGGAAGGUAAACAAUAUGUCUAAGGUGUAAAGAAUACUAUAAAAAAUGAGUUGUAAGUAAUUGAGAUUAAACACGAGCAAGGAAAUAAAUAAGUUGCCAUGUACCUGAACGUCUCAGGCUGGGCUCUGUCUUAAUUUCCAGUGCAGGUCUCUCGUCUCACUCACUUGUUUCUGUUUAAUAAUAGCUAAGCAUACCCUACAUUUAUUCCAAAUUUAUUGUGGGAAUACUGACUAUAGUUUCUUAAAGCUACUAACGUGCCCAAAACCGAAACUACGGUAAAUCUUAAAAGUGCCUCUUUCGUCGUAAUUAUGCUUUCACACGAAGGUUUGACUCAUAUUCAAUCCCAAAUAAAGCCUCGGUUGCUUUUUGGCGAGAGUUUCGCUUUAACUUGCUGUGGCAACAUGUUUUUAUUGUGCUCUCAUUUUGAAAAUUUCGUCCCUAUGUUACAGAAUGAGUGUGGGAGCCACUCAUCACAGGUCAACGCUGAGUUCCAUCGUAAAUCUUGAGGCCAAAUUCAUGUUCCUGUUAGACCACUACACCCCUAAACUGCUUUCCAUCUUCCAAGUCAAGAAAGGUGCUGCUGGAGAGAGACAUCGUACAGAAAUGAAUAUUCUACUGCAGAAUGGAAUUCCCAUAGAGAAAACCAGAGAAGUUGUCAUCCGAUGUCUCAUUGAUCACCUUGGCGAAGAUGUGGGUGCCUUAAUCAAGGAGUUUGACAAUUUUGAUGAUUCAGCCGCCAAUGUGGAAGAAGAGCUGGCAGCAGAGACGAUGGCUCUGUACCUUGUGCGUAAUGAAGAUGGACAAGUCAGGGAUGUAGGGAUCGUCACUGAGGGUUCCACCGUACUCAACCAGCUUGGGGAUCUCAGCAGAGCCUGCUGAUACUUGCUUGGACUAACUUAUGCCUUGGACCCUAAAUACCCCAAAACUCUGAAAUACAUUUUUGAGAUAUUUCAAAAGAUGCUUGUUGAAGUGGAUGCUGGAACCCUGUCAACAAAGGUGCAACGUCUGAAAAACAAUGUAAUGAUAUAGUUGUCUGUGGGGUAGAUGAGCACAGAUGAGACUCAUACCCAACUGAACCAUGCCUGUAAGUUAGACUGUACCCGCAGUAAUUAGUGAGGUUCUUCUGGACAGGAACUUGGACAAUCCAUGGCUUCAUUUCGUCAAACCACCUCCAGGUGUUGUCUGACUGAUUGCAUGAUCUGAUGUUUUUUUGAUUGUACAUUUACAUUUUGCAAUAAUAUGCAUUUUUUCUUUAUAUACUUCACUUUUUUCUUUGAUCAUUCCUGUAAGGCAUUAGGCAUCCAAUUUUCGAGUCAGUGAUUUAAAUGUUGUACUUAGGAGAAAGUUGUUUUUGUAUUUUCAGUUUAAAGUAUCUGUAAUUGUGAGAAAUGCAGGUGUUUGAAAAGCCAGAUAUGCUGUGGAGAUGAUUUUGCCCUUGUGUCAUAGAUUGUGAUAGGCCCAACUGUUAGUCAUCAAUGUGUUUAGUGUGAAGAUUACCCCUUGCAUUAAUAUACAUCUUUAAUAUGUACUUAUUUUUUCAUGGCCAUUUGGCAAGAAGCAUUUUAGUUCAGAGGCGUUUGAUCUUGGGUAUCCUGAAUUGCCUUUCCUGUAACAGCUUUGAAUGUGCUGCUGUAGGUUUUGUCCAUGUAACUUGAGUGGUAAGACAGACAGACAUGUUAAUGAGUUAAAUGUUAGUUGGUGAUGGUUCAAAUGAAAAGAACAGUUGAACCCCUCUGUUGUUGUGAUACAGCUCCAGUUGUUGUGGAGAAGUUGCCAAGCUAAGUAUUUUAAAAAAUUCCUUGUUGAAAUGCACUUUUAUGUAUUAGGUAUGUGCAUAUACUGGAAAAAAUUUAAUUUUCUGUGGAAAAAAAUGUUUUAAAAUAAAGUUUAAUGUUUUGUCAGAUCUUGGUCAUAUUUGUAUAUAGUACUGAAUAUCCUCAAAUCAAAUACAGCAUGUAGUGAAUUAAGUUUAAAAAAUCAGUCAGUACAACACAUAUUUUUAGUAAGUCAUUAGCAAAUUUGCAAUUAUCUCCCACAAAUAUUUUUAAUUAUAUUUACUCAGUUUCUUUAGUGCUUUCUACUCACGUUUUCUAUAUGGUUUACACAGUAUUUCAGUUACAUUUACUCAAUUUAUGUGGUAUUUGUGCCAAGUCAAAUCAUUCAGACCUAAUUGAAAAUAUUACUUAGAUUUACUCAUUACUCGUGUUUUGUUUUAACAGAUUUGAGAGCUUUCAAAUCAACUCAAUAUUUUUAAGUGUAAAAAUGUUUCACUAAUUUAAUUAAGUAUUAUGCAGUAUUAUUUUUUAGAGUGUGGACAGAAGUUGUUUCACUUCAUGAAAUGAAUAUUAAAAUAUGUAGAAUAAUAAUCUCCCUUCAUGGUGCAAAAUAAGCAGAGAAACAAAGUCAUUUACAGUUGACUUGAUAGAUUUACUGUGUAGAUUUACUGAUUUAAAGUGAAACUCUUGCCAAAAUGCAACCUAGGCUUUUUUUGUGAAUGUAUAUGAGUCAAACCUUCGUGAAAAAGCUUAAUUAUGACGAAAGAGGCACUUUUAAGAUUUACUGUGUUUUCGUGUUCGGGUCAAACUAAUUUUCAACGGGAGUGCUACGGGCACUUUUACACUGUUUGUGAACACAGAGUUUACUAAAAAGAAGGAUUUUGAACAACUCACGUUAGCAGUAGCUUGUUCCGCUCGCCGCCGUCCUGCCAGUGGAGAAGUGUCGAUCUUAGAAUGUGACGUAACCUGGAGGACAGUUAAGGUGGA